UAGAGGUGAGCAUGAGGGGGAUG
rnacentral:piRNA from 1 species